UAACUAAGUGUUUUAUGGCACUUUUUAAAUCCAUAUCCACCUCGUGUGCAAUGUCAGUCGAUCUUCUUCAUGGAGAUCGACCAAACAUCAACCUUUAUCUUUUAACUCUUUGUCUGAAAAAUAUUAUGAAUAAACAAUUCAAAAUA
rnacentral:misc_RNA from 1 species